GUUAAAGUAGUUUAUAAAAACCCCACUCUGUGGACGUGAAGAUACAAAUCCUUGUCUUUAACCA
rnacentral:tRNA from 1 species